UCAAGUUAUUAAGGGUGCAGGGCGAAUGCCUUGGCACUAGGAGCCGAUGAAGGACGUGAUAAGCUGCGAUAAGCUUGGGGGAGUUGCACGUAAACUGUGAUCCCAAGAUUUCCGAAUGAGGAAACUCACUUAGAGUAAUGUCUAAGUAUCGUAUGAUGAAUACAUAGUCAUGCGAGGGGAACCCGGAGAACUGAAACAUCUAAGUACCCGGAGGAAGAGAAAGAAAUUCGAUUCCGUAAGUAGCGGCGAGCGAACGCGGAACAGGCCAAACCAGUGAAGUUUUCUUCGCUGGGGUUGCGGACAUAUCAUAACGAAGAGGUAUCGUAGAAGAAGAGAGUUGGAAAGCUCCGCCACAGAUGGUAACAGCCCAGUAUUUUAAACGAGAAGACUUUAGAUAUGAUCCAGAGUACCACGGGACACGUGAAACCCUGUGGGAAGCAGGAGGGACCAUCCUCCAAGCCUAAAUACUACCUAGUGACCGAUAGCGUAUAGUACCGUGAGGGAAAGGUGAAAAGAACCCCGGGAGGGGAGUGAAAGAGAACCUGAAACCCUGCACUUACAAGCUGUAGGAGCACAUUAUUUGUGUGACUGCGUACUUUUUGUAGAACGGGCCAACGAGUUACGUUGUGUAGCAAGGUUAAGCACUUAAGGUGUGGAGCCGUAGCGAAAGCGAGUCUUAAAUGGGCGUCCAGUUACCCGACGUAGACCCGAAACCAGGCGACCUAUCCAUGAGCAGGUUGAAGCGAAAGUAAAAUUUCGUGGAGGACCGAACCCACGUACGUUGAAAAGUGCGGGGAUGACUUGUGGAUAGCGGUGAAAUUCCAAUCGAGCCUGGAGAUAGCUGGUUCUCCCCGAAAUAGCUUUAGGGCUAGCCUCAAGCUUAGAGAAACGGAGGUAGAGCACUGAAUGUCCUAGGGGGUAUUGCACUUACCGAAGACUAUCAAACUCCGAAUGCCGUAUUCUUUUGCUUGGGAGUCAGACUAUGGGUGAUAAGAUUCAUAGUCAAGAGGGCAACAGCCCAGAUCGUCAGCUAAGGUCCCUAAAUGUAAGUUAAGUGGUAAAGGAUGUGGAAUUGCACAGACAACCAGGAUGUUGGCUUAGAAGCAGCCACUCAUUUAAAGAGUGCGUAAUAGCUCACUGGUCGAGUGAUUCUGCGCCGAAAAUUUCCGGGGCUAAAACUUACUACCGAAGCUACGGCAUCAUUAUGAUGGGUAGGGGAGCUUUCUAUGCGGCUUGAAGCAUGACCGUAAGGACAUGUGGACUGCAUAGAAGUGAGAAUGUUGGCAUGAGUAGCGAGAUGUGGGUGAGAAUCCCACAGGCCGUAAACCCAAGGUUUCCAGGGGAAGGUUCGUCCGCCCUGGGUUAGUCAGGACCUAAGCCGAGGCCGAAAGGCGUAGGUGAUGGACAACAGGUUGAUAUUCCUGUACCACCAAUAACCGUUUGAGAAAUGGGAUGACACAGUAGGAUAAGCUAACCGCACUGUUGGUUAUGUGCGGGCAAGUAUUGAGGCAGUUCCGAUAGGCAAAUCCGUCGGAAUAAUGCUGGGGUACGAUGCGGAGCGAAAUUUAGUAGCGAAGUAGCUGAUUUCACACUGUCGAGAAAAGUCUCUAUCGAGGUUAAAGGUGCCUGUACCGCAAACCGACACAGGUGGGUGAGGAGAGUAUCCUAAGGCCAGCGAGAGAACUGUUGUUAAGGAACUCGGCAAAAUGACCCCGUAACUUAGGGAGAAGGGGUGCCUUCGAAAGAAGGCCGCAGAGAAUAGGCCCAAGCGACUGUUUACCAAAAACAUAGGUUUCUGCUAAGUCGCAAGACGAUGUAUAGGAGCUGACGCCUGCCCGGUGCUGGAAGGUUAAGGGGAUCUGUUAGAGCAAUCGAAGCAGUGAACUUAAGCCCCAGUAAACGGCGGCCGUAACUAUAACGGUCCUAAGGUAGCGAAAUUCCUUGUCGGGUAAGUUCC
rnacentral:rRNA from 1 species